AGGACGAACGCUGGCGGCGUGCUUAACACAUGCAAGUCGAGCGGAAAGGCCCUUCGGGGUACUCGAGCGGCGAACGGGUGAGUAACACGUGAGUAACCUGCCCCUAGCUCUGGGAUAGCUCCGGGAAACCGGGAUUAAUACCAGAUACGACCACUUUAGACAUCUGUCGUGGUGGAAAGGAUUCCGGCUAGGGAUGGGCUCGCGGCCUAUCAGCUUGUUGGUGGGUAACGCUACCAAGGCGACGACGGGUA
rnacentral:rRNA from 1 species